rnacentral:rRNA from 1 species
CCCUUAGAUGUUCUGGGCCGCACGCGCGCUACACUGAUGCAUUCAACGAGCCUAUCCUUGACCGACAGGUCCGGGUAAUCUUUGAAUCUGCAUCGUGACGGGGAUAGAUUAUUGCAAUUAUUAAUCUUCAACGAGGAAUGCCUAGUAGGCGCAAGUCAUCAGCUUGCGUCGAUUACGUCCCUGCCCUUUGUACACACCGCCCGUCGCUCCUACCGAUUGGGUGUGCUGGUGAAAUGUUCGGAUCGGUCGUUUGUCGCGGUUUCCGCGUCAUGUGGCUGAGAAGUUCAUUAAACCCUCCCACCUAGAGGAAGGAGAAGUCGUAACA